UAGGGAUAGGAGCGGAAAGCCCGGAGCGUGCAUGUGCCACUGUGCGCCAGGAAAGCGAGGACUUGCAGCGGAUAGCCCGGCCCGUU
rnacentral:misc_RNA from 1 species